CCUACGGGAGGCAGCAGUGAGGAAUAUUGGUCAAUGGCCGGAAGGCUGAACCAGCCAUGCCGCGUGAAGGUCAGUGCCCUAUGGGCGUUAAACUUCUUUUGUGCGGGAGCAAUAAUGGUCACGUGUGGCCAGACGAGAGUACCGUACGAAUAAGCAUCGGCUAACUCCGUGCCAGCAGCCGCGGUAAUACGGGGGAUGCAAGCGUUAUCCGGAUUUAUUGGGUUUAAAGGGUGCGUAGGCUGUGAGGUAAGUCAGCGGUGAAAUGCCCACGCUCAACGGGGUGAAGUGCCAUUGAUACUGCCAUGCUGGAAUGCGGAUGCCGUGGGAGGAAUGUGUGGUGUAGCGGUGAAAUGCAUAGAUAGCACACAGAACACCGAUUGCGAAGGCAUCUCACGAAUCCGCGAUUGACGCUGAUGCACGAAAGCGUGGGUAUCAAACAGGAUUAGAUACCCGGGUAGUC
rnacentral:rRNA from 1 species